GCUCAGGUCGCAUAAUCAGGUAUUGCGAGGGUCUCAAAAACCCUUGAUCUCCAGUAGAUUGUCUGGGUUCGAAUCCCAGCCUGAGCG
rnacentral:tRNA from 1 species